rnacentral:rRNA from 1 species
AACGAACGCUGGCGGCAUGCCUAACACAUGCAAGUCGAACGAGACCUUCGGGUCUAGUGGCGCACGGGUGCGUAACGCGUGGGAACCUGCCCUUAGGUUCGGAAUAACUCCCCGAAAGGGGUGCUAAUACCGGAUAAUGUCUUCGGACCAAAGAUUUAUCGCCUUUGGAUGGGCCCGCGUUGGAUUAGCUAGUUGGUAGGGUAAAAGCCUACCAAGGCGACGAUCCAUAGCUGGUCUGAGAGGAUGAUCAGCCACACUGGGACUGAGACACGGCCCAGACUCCUACGGAAGGCAGCAGUGGGGAAUAUUGGACAAUGGGCGAAAGCCUGAUCCAGCAAUGCCGCGUAAGUGAUGAAGGCCUUAGGGUUGUAAAGCUCUUUUACCCGGGAUGAUAAUGACGGUACCGGGAGAAUAAGCUCCGGCUAACUCCGUG